rnacentral:rRNA from 1 species
GAUGAACGCUGGCGGCGUGCCUAAUACAUGCAAGUCGAGCGAACUGAUUAGAAGCUUGCUUCUAUGACGUUAGCGGCGGACGGGUGAGUAACACGUGGGCAACCUGCCUGUAAGACUGGGAUAACUUCGGGAAACCGAAGCUAAUACCGGAUAGGAUCUUCUCCUUCAUGGGAGAUGAUUGAAAGAUGGUUUCGGCUAUCACUUACAGAUGGGCCCGCGGUGCAUCAGCUAGUUGGUGAGGUAACGGCUCACCAAGGCAACGAUGCAUAGCCGACCUGGGAGGGUGAUCGGCCACACUGGGACUGAGACACGGCCCAGACUCCUACGGGAGGCAGCAGUAGGGAAUCUUCCGCAAUGGACGAAAGUCUGACGGAGCAACGCCGCGUGAGUGAUGAAGGCUUUCGGGUCGUAAAACUCUGUUGUUAGGGAAGAACAAGUACAAGAGUAACUGCUUGUACCUUGACGGUACCUAACCAGAAAGCCACGGCUAACUACGUGCCAGCAGCCGCAGUAA